UAGAUGGGAUUUACAUCUGAAAAACCAAGUGAGAAACUGAAGACAAGAGAGGGUGAGUGGCUUACCCAGUUUGGCACAACUGACCCCAACCUAGCCCUCCUUGAGGACUGAGUGCAUGAGAGAUCCUGAGCCACAGCCUCCCAGCCCUGCUCCUCUCGAAUUUCUGACCUACAGGAACUGCAAGAAGUAAUGAAAGACUGCUGUUUAAAGCCACUGCAUUUUGGCAUGAUUUGUUAUGCAGUCAUAGGUAACCAGAAAACAUCGGAUUUACAUUUUAAGGAAACAGAGAAGCAAAGAAGUUAGCAAGCUUGUUUUGGCAGAAGAAAAAACACAAAAUGCCCAACCGCAGAUUCUC
rnacentral:lncRNA from 1 species